ACAUAUUCUCAUGGUAUGGACAUUUUUACAAUUUUCUGUACAUAUUUCGGGACUUCAAGCCCUUACAUAAUUGUUCAUAUUUUGAGGAACUUCUGGCAUCUCAUUUAACUGUUCAUCCAUGAGUUUAAAGAACUGCAGGUUCCUUUUUGUAUAUAGUGACGGUUUACCCAAAAUGGUUCAUAUUUAUGCAUACGUCACUAUUCAUGUGAAUAGUACUAUUCAUCAAGUCAUGAAUACGUAUCUAUUCAUCUGCCAGUACAGUUAUCAUCAAUGUGUACGGCACUAUGAACCAAUACGGUACUGUUACAUCAUUAUCCUUAUUUACAUGUCAGGAAUCAAGGACCCUUAAGUCCGAUCACAUGUUUACAAAUAUAGUACCGGAGAGACUGCCAGCUCUCAUAUUAAAAUCAUCAUCAAGGAUCUUCAAGUCCUGAUAUAAUUGUAUGAUGAGGAUCAAGGAACUUCUGGUCCUGAUCUGC
rnacentral:lncRNA from 1 species